CCGCCCGUCACACCAUGGGAGUCAGUUGCUCCAGAAAUCGGUGCGCCAACCGCAAGGAGGCAGCCGCUCAAGGAGUGACUGGUAACUGGGGUGAAGUCGUAAACAAGGUACC
rnacentral:rRNA from 1 species